UACGUAGGGUGCGAGCGUUAAUCGGAAUUACUGGGCGUAAAGCGUGCGCAGGCGGUUCGUCGUGUCCGAUGUGAAAGCCCCGGGCUCAACCUGGGAAUGGCGUUGGAAACUGGCGGACUCGAGUGUGGCAGAGGGGGGUGGAAUUCCGCGUGUAGCAGUGAAAUGCGUAGAGAUGCGGAGGAACACCGAUGGCGAAGGCAGCCCCCUGGGCUAACACUGACGCUCAGGCACGAAAGCGUGGGGAGCGAACGGG
rnacentral:rRNA from 1 species